CUUAUAUGACAGUACUUCCUC
rnacentral:miRNA from 1 species